rnacentral:lncRNA from 7 species
AGGGCUGCGACCUUGUGAGGAGCAGUGCGUGGGUUGGUGAGCCGCCUGAUCGCCAGCUAGUUGCGGAUCUCCAGAGCCUCAAACUGUUAACCAAAGAGUCAGUUCUGGGUCAGCGAGGAUUUGAGUGGUUAAAACUGCACAGUUCAUGGGGAGAGGUAAAUUGCUGGAAUGGGGCCUUGAGAGGAUGGCCAUUCUGGAGAUGUUCAAGUCCAGACCCUUGGCAAACUGCUUUAGCUGAGCAUGCUUUCCCCUGAGAUUUGCAGUAGAGACUCCUGGAGAUCCCUUCCAACUUGCUGUGUUUCUGGGCAUCAUGAUCCAAACAGUUAAUUCAGCUUUUUCACAGCUUUGCCUCUGCAAAUUAAACUGGAAUUGAAAGGACUGGCAUAUCUCAAAAGGCCUUUGGAAUGAAAUAUUCAGGAAUGUUUAUCAGUCAAAAAGCUGAGGAAUUUCAGGUUGAUAGGCAGUCUUCUAGAUGUUUCUAAACUUUGCUGAACAUCAACUCCUAGACUUCUGCAGGCUGUCUAUGUAAUUCUGAAUUUACUUUCUAAAUUGGCACGUAACUUAUUGAAUACGUUUUAAAGAGCAUAGCAGAACUCUGAGCCAGGAUAUAGAAAUUGAGGUGGAAUGUGCUUAUAACUGCAUAAGUAAAUGUGUAUGUGUAUGAUGAGUCCCAGAAGAAGUUGUAUACUGAAAACUGCAUUGUCUAACCUUCUUAUGUUUAAUUCAUCCUUUGAUAUGCUUGAUUAAUAUCAUUGCAGCCACUUUUUGUGUAGAUAAGUAUUAUUUUUUUGUAAAAUGCUAAAAAACAUCAGUAAAGGUAUGAUUUCUAAAAGAUUGUAAAACUUUGUGUAUAUAUUUUCUAUUAUAGACACAAAAUACUUGGCUUUUCCUCCGAAAUUAAAUAAACAUUUAAUU